UGGGUAACCUGCCCAUAAGACUGGGAUAACUCCGGGAAACCGGGGCUAAUACCGGAUAAUAUUUUGAACUGCAUGGUUCGAAAUUGAAAGGCGGCUUCGGCUGUCACUUAUGGAUGGACCCGCGUCGCAUUAGCUAGUUGGUGAGGUAACGGCUCACCAAGGCAACGAUGCGUAGCCGACCUGAGAGGGUGAUCGGCCACACUGGGACUGAGACACGGCCCAGACUCCUACGGGAGGCAGCAGUAGGGAAUCUUCCGCAAUGGACGAAAGUCUGACGGAGCAACGCCGCGUGAGUGAUGAAGGCUUUCGGGUCGUAAAACUCUGUUGUUAGGGAAGAACAAGUGCUAGUUGAAUAAGCUGGCACCUUGACGGUACCUAACCAGAAAGCCACGGCUAACUACGUGCCAGCAGCCGCGGUAAUACGUAGGUGGCAAGCGUUAUCCGGAAUUAUUGGGCGUAAAGCGCGCGCAGGUGGUUUCUUAAGUCUGAUGUGAAAGCCCACGGCUCAACCGUGGAGGGUCAUUGGGAAACUGGGAGACUUGAGUGCAGAAGAGGAAAGUGGAAUUCCAUGUGUAGCGGUGAAAUGCGUAGAGAUAUGGAGGAACACCAGUGGCGAAGGCGA
rnacentral:rRNA from 1 species